rnacentral:rRNA from 1 species
GCGGCCCGCGUCUGAUUAGCUAGUUGGUGAGGUAAAGGCUCACCAAGGCGACGAUCAGUAGCUGGUCUGAGAGGAUGAUCAGCCACAUUGGGACUGAGACACGGCCCAAACUCCUACGGGAGGCAGCAGUGGGGAAUCUUGCGCAAUGGGCGAAAGCCUGACGCAGCCAUGCCGCGUGAAUGAUGAAGGUCUUAGGAUUGUAAAAUUCUUUCACCGGGGACGAUAAUGACGGUACCCGGAGAAGAAGCCCCGGCUAACUUCGUGCCAGCAGCCGCGGUAAUACGAAGGGGGCUAGCGUUGCUCGGAAUUACUGGGCGUAAAGGGAGCGUAGGCGGACAUUUAAGUCAGGGGUGAAAUCCCGGGGCUCAACCUCGGAAUUGCCUUUGAUACUGGGUGUCUUGAGUAUGAGAGAGGUAUGUGGAACUCCGAGUGUAGAGGUGAAAUUCGUAGAUAUUCGGAAGAACACCAGUGGCGAAGGCGACAUACUGGCUCAUUACUGACGCUGAGGCUCGAAAGCGUGGGGAGCAAACAGGAUUAGAUACCCUGGUAGUCCACGCCGUAAACGAUGAUUGCUAGUUGUCGGGAUGCAUGCAUUUCGGUGACGCAGCUAACGCAUUAAGCAAU